rnacentral:misc_RNA from 1 species
UGGUUCUCGCAUCGAUGAAGAACGCAGCGAAACGCGAUAGGUAAUGUGAAUUGCAGAAUUCAGUGAAUCAUCGAAUCUUUGAACGCACAUUGCGCCUUUUGGUAUUCCGAGAGGUACGUCUGUUUGAGCGUCAGUACGCACCUCUGCACCCGGCUUUGCUGUCCGGGCUGCAGGUCAUGGGGAUGGUCACCGGCCUCCUCUAAUGCGCACGCUUGCGGGCUUCCACAGAAUGUCAACGUAGUAAACUAAACGCUCGAUGAUUGACUGGGGACGGCACGCCUGAUCUCAAAUCUUUAAGGUUUGACCUCAGAUCAGACGAGGAUACCCGCUGA